AUGGCUGACGCCUCCGUCGCCGGCGGUUCCAUGGACGACUACCCAACCAUCGACCCAACCUCUUUCGACGUGGUCCUCUGCGGCACCGGCCUCCCGGAGUCCAUCCUCGCCGCUGCCUGCGCGGCCGCCGGGAAGACCGUCCUCCACGUCGACCCCGACCCCUUCUACGGCUCCUUCUACUCCUCCAUCCCGCUCCCUUCCGUCCCCUCCAUCCUCUCCCCCAACUCCUCCACCCCUUGUCCUCCCUCAACCACAGCCUCCUCGUCCGCCACCGCCGCAUACACCGCCGUCGAUCUCGAGCGCCGCAGUCUGUACUCGGAGGUUGAGACCUCGGGGACGGUUCCCGAACCGUCCAGGCGCUUCACGGUCGACCUGGUGGGUCCCAGGGUGCUGUACUGCGCCGACGAGGCCGUGGACCUUCUUCUGAGGUCAGGAGGAAGCCACCAUGUGGAGUUCAAGAGCGUGGAAGGGGGUAGCCUCAUCUACUGGGAUGGUGCGCUCUGCCCGGUGCCAGACUCUAGGCAGGCCAUCUUCAUGGACAGCACACAUCGGUCAAAGGAGAAGCUUAAUCUUAGGGAUAAUCUUAAGGAGAAGACCCUCUUGUUCAGAUUCUUCAAGCUUGUCCAGUCACACAUUGCCGCAUCGUCUUCUGGUGAUAAGGAUGGGGAGGGCGAAGCCUCUGGUAAGAUAUCCGAGGAGGACUUGGACCUCCCCUUCAUCGAAUUCCUCAAGAAACAGCAGCUUCAACCCAAGAUUAGAGCGGUUGUGCUAUAUGCAAUAGCCAUGGCAGAUUAUGAUCAAGAUGCUGCAGACUCAUGCGAGAAAUUGCUAACGACGAGAGAUGGAAUCAAGACCCUAGCUCUUUAUUCCUCGUCCAUUGGGAGGUUUGCUAAUGCCCAAGGUGCUUUCAUUUAUCCUAUGUAUGGGCAUGGCGAGCUACCGCAAGCUUUCUGUCGCUUUGCUGCUGUUAAGGGUGCCCUAUAUGUGUUGAGGAUGCCAGUCACAGCCCUUCUCAUGGACCAGGAAAAGAAGCGUUAUAUAGGCACCAGAUUGGCUUCUGGUCAGGAUAUUUUGUGCCAGCAGUUGAUACUAGGUCCCUCAUACAAAAUUCCUUCAUUGGACAUGCCAGCUGAUGCUUCAGACUCAAACUUGACGAGAAAAGUUGCCAGGGGAGUAUGCAUAAUCAGCAGCUCCAUAAAAGAGGCUUCAUCAAAUGUUCUGGUUGUUUUCCCCCCAAAAUCAUUACAAGAGCAGCAAGCUACAGCUGUUCGGGCGCUUCAGCUGAGCAGCAAUGUAGCAGUAUGCCCUCCUGGAAUGUUCAUGAUAUAUCUGUCUACUCCCUGCACCGAUGCCUUUACGGGAAAGCAGUACAUAAACAAGGCUAUGGAGGUUCUUUUCAGUACUCAGGCUUCAGAUGAUUCAGAAGGCCAUUUGGAGACAACCAGCAAAAACAUCGAGGAUACAAAGCCAGUGCUAAUCUGGAGUUGUGUGUAUGUUCAAGAGAUCACACAGGGAACAUCUGGUACUGUAUUGUCAUGCCCCAUGCCUGAUGAAAACCUGGACUACAGAGAUAUACUGGAAUCAACAAAACAGUUAUUCACAGAUACUUAUCCUGACGAAGAAUUCCUGCCUAGAAACGCAGCUCCUAAAUAUGCCGAUGAUGACUCUGAUCUUGCAGAGUAG
rnacentral:rRNA from 1 species